UUUGUAUUAUCUGGGCUUUUACCAGAUUGGGAGAUCAUCUAGGCUUGUUUUACUCUGUUGACGAAAUCAUCAUGACACGCGUACGGUGCGGAUUACCGGAUGGUUUGGUAUAUCAUUUCAAAAAAUUUGACGAGACAAGAUAUGCCCUAUUUGCAAGAAGGAACACUUGUUGAUAUGGUCUUCAACCCAUUAGGAGUUCCUUUCACGAAUGAAUGUAGGACAAAUAUUUGAAUGGUCGCUCGGGUUAGCGAAGGAUCUGCUAGAUAUGCAUUAUUGAAUAACACCCUUUGAUGAGAGAUAGGAGCAAGAGGCUUCGAGAUAACUAGUGUUUUCUUAAUUAUAUGAAGCCAGUAAGCUAACAACAAAUCCGUGGGUAUUGAACCUGAAAACCAAAGAAAAAACAUAAUGUUUGAUGGAAAAACAAAGGAUUCUUUCGAACAACCUAUUAUAAUAGGAAAUUCUUAUAUCAUGAAAUUAAUUCAUCAAGUUGAUGAUAAAAUCCAUGGACGUUCCAGUGGACCUUACAUGCUUGUUAUACAACAACUCCUUAGAGGAAGAGCCAAGCAAGAGGGACAAUGGGUAGGAGGAAUGGAAGUUUGGCCCCAGAGGGAUCUGGUGUUGCUUAUAUUUUACAAGAGAUGCUUACUUAUAAAUCUGAUCAUAUUAGAGCUCAUCAAGAAGUAGUACUAUGAUCAUUGGAGGAACAAUACCUAACCCUGAGGAUGCUCCAAAAUCUUUUCGAUUGCUCGUUAAAGAACUGCAAUCUUUAGCUCUAGAACUAAACCAUUUCCUUGUAUCUAAGAAGAACUUCCAGAUAAAUAGGAAGGAAGCUUGAUCGAAAUGAAUCAAAAUUAUUUUCUAUGAUCAAUUGGUAUAAACAUCAACAACUUCGAAUUGGAGCAGUUUCUCCUCAAUAAAUAAGUGUUUGGCCAAUAAAAUCCUACCUAAUGGAGAAAUGGUGGAGUGGUGACAGAACCUUGUACUUUUCAUUACAAAAGCAAUAAACCAGUAAAGGAUGGAUUAUUUUGUGAAAUAAUUUUUGGGCCUAUAAGAGUGGCAUUUGUAUCGAGUAAUCAGAGAUUAAAAAAAAAAAAAGGAAGACCCGAAAUUUUGUGAACAAUGUGGCAUUGCAUUUGUUGAUUCUCGGGUACGGCGAUAUCAAAUGGGAUACAUUAAACUGGCAUGUCUAGUAACUCAUGUGUGGUAUUUGAAGCGUCUUCCUAGUUAUAUUGCGAAUCUUUUAGAUAAACCUCUUAAGGAAUUUGAAGGCCUCGUAUAUUGUGAUGUGUGAUUUAAUCGAAAUCCAUGGAGGGUGAGUCAGGGCCUAAGAUCAAGCCAAAAGGCGUAGUCGAUGGGCAACAUGUGAAUAUUCUUGUACUACCCCUUAUUGGUCCCGAAGGACGGAGGAGGCUAGGUUACCCAAAAGGUGGUUAUCGAUUCAAGGACGCAAGGUGAACUUGCUUUUCAGGAUAAGAAGGGGUAGAGAAAAUGCCUCAAGCCAAUGUUCGAGUACCAGGCACUAAGGCGUUGAAGUAACCCAUGCCAUAUUCCCAGGAAAAGUUUGAACGACCUUCAACAAAUGGGUAUUUGUACCCGAAAUCGACACGAGUGGGUAGGUAGAAAAUACCUAGAGGUGUGAGACAACUCUCUCUAAGGAACUCGACAAAAUAGCCCAGUAACUUCAAGAGAAGGGGUGCCUCCUCACAAAGGGGGUCGUAGUGACUAGGCCUUGUGACUGUUUAUCGAAAACACGUAUCCGCAAAGUCGUAAAACAACGUAUGGGGGAUGUCGCAUGCCCAAUGUCGGAAGGUCAAGGAAGUUGGUGACCUGAUAACAGGAGAGCCAGCGACCAAAGCCCCGGUGAAUGGCGGCCAUAACUAUAAUGGUUCUAAGGUAGCGAAAUUCCUUGUUGGGUAAGUUCUGACCCGCACGAAAGGCGUAACGAUCUGGGCACUAUCUCGGAUAGAGGAAUCGGUGAUAGAUAUGUCUGUGAAGAUGAAGACUACCUGCACCUGGACAAAAAGACCCUAUGAAGCUUUACUAUUCCUUGAGAUUGGCUUUGGGCAGUGGAGGGCGAAGAAUGCCCCCUUCCGAGGGGCUCGAACCAUCAGUGAGAUACCAUUCUAGAAGAGCUAGAAUUCUAACCUUGUGUCAAGUCCUACGGGCCAAGGGACAUUCUCAUAUAAACAGUUUUAUGGGGUGUAGGCCUCCCAAAAGGUAACAAAAAGCGUGCAAAGGUUUCCUCGGGCCUGACGAAAAUUGGCCCUCGAAUGCAAAAGCGAGAUGGGAGCUUGACUGCAAAACCCACCAGUCGAGCAGGGACGAAAGUCGGCCUUAGUAUCUGACAGUGCCGAGUGGAAGGACCAUCUCAAGGGAUAAAAGUUACUCUAGGGAUAAAAGUUACUCUAGGGAUAAAAGUUACUCUAGGGAUAAUAGGUUGAUCAUCCACAAAAGUUCACAUCGACGGGAAGGUUUGGCACCUCGAUGUCGACUCUUCGCCACUUGUAAUAUGUUCCAAGGGUUGGGUUGGUCGCCCAUUAAAUUAGUAUGUGAGCUGGGUUCAGAGCUUCGUGAGAAAGUUUGGUCCAUAUCCGAUGUGGGCAUUAAAGCAUUGAGAGGACAUUUCCCUAGUACGAGAGAACCAAGAAUGACGCACCUCUGGUGUACCAGUUAUCGUGCCCACAGUAAACGCUGGGUAGCUAAGUGCGGAGCGAAUAACUGCUAAAAGCAUCUUAGUAAGAAACCCACCUCAAGAUGAGUGUUCUCCUAUUUCGACUUCCCCAGAGCCUCCUGUAGCACAGGUGGGACAGCAACGGGUUCUCUGCCUCUGUAGGGAUGAAGCGAUAGAAGUUUUGAGAAUCCAAGAUAAGGUCACCAGGAGAUGAGCCAUUUAUUGUUAUGAUAGGUGUCAAGUGG
rnacentral:rRNA from 1 species